GGUUAAGCGACUAAGCGUACACGGUGGAUGCCCUGGCAGUCAGAGGCGAUGAAGGACGUGCUAAUCUGCGAUAAGCGUCGGUAAGGUGAUAUGAACCGUUAUAACCGGCGAUUUCCGAAUGGGGAAACCCAGUGUGUUUCGACACACUAUCAUUAACUGAAUCCAUAGGUUAAUGAGGCGAACCGGGGGAACUGAAACAUCUAAGUACCCCGAGGAAAAGAAAUCAACCGAGAUUCCCCCAGUAGCGGCGAGCGAACGGGGAGCAGCCCAGAGCCUGAAUCAGUGUGUGUGUUAGUGGAAGCGUCUGGAAAGGCGCGCGAUACAGGGUGACAGCCCCGUACACAAAAAUGCACAUGCUGUGAGCUCGAUGAGUAGGGCGGGACACGUGGUAUCCUGUCUGAAUAUGGGGGGACCAUCCUCCAAGGCUAAAUACUCCUGACUGACCGAUAGUGAACCAGUACCGUGAGGGAAAGGCGAAAAGAACCCCGGCGAGGGGAGUGAAAAAGAACCUGAAACCGUGUACGUACAAGCAGUGGGAGCCUCUUUAUGGGGUGACUGCGUACCUUUUGUAUAAUGGGUCAGCGACUUAUAUUCUGUAGCAAGGUUAACCGAAUAGGGGAGCCGAAGGGAAACCGAGUCUUAACUGGGCGUUAAGUUGCAGGGUAUAGACCCGAAACCCGGUGAUCUAGCCAUGGGCAGGUUGAAGGUUGGGUAACACUAACUGGAGGACCGAACCGACUAAUGUUGAAAAAUUAGCGGAUGACUUGUGGCUGGGGGUGAAAGGCCAAUCAAACCGGGAGAUAGCUGGUUCUCCCCGAAAGCUAUUUAGGUAGCGCCUCGUGAACUCAUCUCCGGGGGUAGAGCACUGUUUCGGCAAGGGGGUCAUCCCGACUUACCAACCCGAUGCAAACUGCGAAUACCGGAGAAUGUUAUCACGGGAGACACACGGCGGGUGCUAACGUCCGUCGUGAAGAGGGAAACAACCCAGACCGCCAGCUAAGGUCCCAAAGUCAUGGUUAAGUGGGAAACGAUGUGGGAAGGCCCAGACAGCCAGGAUGUUGGCUUAGAAGCAGCCAUCAUUUAAAGAAAGCGUAAUAGCUCACUGGUCGAGUCGGCCUGCGCGGAAGAUGUAACGGGGCUAAACCAUGCACCGAAGCUGCGGCAGCGACGCUUAUGCGUUGUUGGGUAGGGGAGCGUUCUGUAAGCCUGUGAAGGUGUGCUGUGAGGCAUGCUGGAGGUAUCAGAAGUGCGAAUGCUGACAUAAGUAACGAUAAAGCGGGUGAAAAGCCCGCUCGCCGGAAGACCAAGGGUUCCUGUCCAACGUUAAUCGGGGCAGGGUGAGUCGACCCCUAAGGCGAGGCCGAAAGGCGUAGUCGAUGGGAAACAGGUUAAUAUUCCUGUACUUGGUGUUACUGCGAAGGGGGGACGGAGAAGGCUAUGUUGGCCGGGCGACGGUUGUCCCGGUUUAAGCGUGUAGGCUGGUUUUCCAGGCAAAUCCGGAAAAUCAAGGCUGAGGCGUGAUGACGAGGCACUACGGUGCUGAAGCAACAAAUGCCCUGCUUCCAGGAAAAGCCUCUAAGCAUCAGGUAACAUCAAAUCGUACCCCAAACCGACACAGGUGGUCAGGUAGAGAAUACCAAGGCGCUUGAGAGAACUCGGGUGAAGGAACUAGGCAAAAUGGUGCCGUAACUUCGGGAGAAGGCACGCUGAUAUGUAGGUGAAGCGACUUGCUCGUGGAGCUGAAAUCAGUCGAAGAUACCAGCUGGCUGCAACUGUUUAUUAAAAACACAGCACUGUGCAAACACGAAAGUGGACGUAUACGGUGUGACGCCUGCCCGGUGCCGGAAGGUUAAUUGAUGGGGUUAGCGCAAGCGAAGCUCUUGAUCGAAGCCCCGGUAAACGGCGGCCGUAACUAUAACGGUCCUAAGGUAGCGAAAUUCCUUGUCGGGUAAGUUCCGACCUGCACGAAUGGCGUAAUGAUGGCCAGGCUGUCUCCACCCGAGACUCAGUGAAAUUGAACUCGCUGUGAAGAUGCAGUGUACCCGCGGCAAGACGGAAAGACCCCGUGAACCUUUACUAUAGCUUGACACUGAACAUUGAGCCUUGAUGUGUAGGAUAGGUGGGAGGCUUUGAAGUGUGGACGCCAGUCUGCAUGGAGCCGACCUUGAAAUACCACCCUUUAAUGUUUGAUGUUCUAACGUUGACCCGUAAUCCGGGUUGCGGACAGUGUCUGGUGGGUAGUUUGACUGGGGCGGUCUCCUCCUAAAGAGUAACGGAGGAGCACGAAGGUUGGCUAAUCCUGGUCGGACAUCAGGAGGUUAGUGCAAUGGCAUAAGCCAGCUUGACUGCGAGCGUGACGGCGCGAGCAGGUGCGAAAGCAGGUCAUAGUGAUCCGGUGGUUCUGAAUGGAAGGGCCAUCGCUCAACGGAUAAAAGGUACUCCGGGGAUAACAGGCUGAUACCGCCCAAGAGUUCAUAUCGACGGCGGUGUUUGGCACCUCGAUGUCGGCUCAUCACAUCCUGGGGCUGAAGUAGGUCCCAAGGGUAUGGCUGUUCGCCAUUUAAAGUGGUACGCGAGCUGGGUUUAGAACGUCGUGAGACAGUUCGGUCCCUAUCUGCCGUGGGCGCUGGAGAACUGAGGGGGGCUGCUCCUAGUACGAGAGGACCGGAGUGGACGCAUCACUGGUGUUCGGGUUGUCAUGCCAAUGGCACUGCCCGGUAGCUAAAUGCGGAAGAGAUAAGUGCUGAAAGCAUCUAAGCACGAAACUUGCCCCGAGAUGAGUUCUCCCUGACUCCUUGAGAGUCCUGAAGGAACGUUGAAGACGACGACGUUGAUAGGCCGGGUGUGUAAGCGCAGCGAUGCGUUGAGCUAACCGGUACUAAUGAACCGUGAGGCUUAACCUU
rnacentral:rRNA from 1 species